GAUGAACGCUAGCGGCAGGCUUAACACAUGCAAGUCGAGGGACAGCACAGGUAGCAAUACUGGGUGGUAACCGGCAAACGGGUGCGGCACAGGUACACAUCCUUCUCUUAAGUGGGGGAUAGCCCAGAGAAAGUUGGAUUAAUACUCCGUCAUAUAGUUGAAAGGCAUCAUCUGAUUAUGAUAGCUCGGGUGCUUAAUGCUGGGUGUGCAGCUGUUUAGAUAGUUGGCGAGAUAACGGCACACCGAGUCUACGAACAGUAGCUGAUGUGAGAGCAUGAUCAGCCAGACGGGCACUGAGACACGGGCCCGUAUCCUACGGGAGGCAGCAGUAAGGAAUAUUAGUCAAUGGACGCUAGUCUGAACCAGCCGUGCCGCGUGAAAGAUUAAGGUCCUCUGGAUUGUAAACUUCUUUUAUUUGGGACGGAAAAGGGCCUUUCUGGGUCAACUGACGGUACCAGAUGAAUAAGCACCGGCUAACUCCGUGCCAGCAGCCGCCGUAACAC
rnacentral:rRNA from 1 species